GUUGUAUGGUUAAGUGACUAAGCGUACACGGUGGAUGCCUGGGCAGUCAGAGGCGAUGAAGGACGUACUAACUUGCGAUAAGCGCAGAUAAGGCAGUAAGAGCCGUUUGAGUCUGCGAUUUCCGAAUGGGGAAACCCAACUGCAUAAGCAGUUACUGUUAACUGAAUACAUAGGUUAACAGAGCAAACCGGGGGAACUGAAACAUCUAAGUACCCCGAGGAGAAGAAAUCAACCGAGAUUCCGGUAGUAGCGGCGAGCGAACCUGGAUUAGCCCUUAAGCACUCGGUGAAGUAGGUGAACAAGCUGGAAAGCUUGGCGAUACAGGGUGAUAGCCCCGUAACCGACGCUUCAUCGAGCGUGAAAUCGAGUAGGGCGGGACACGUGAUAUCCUGUCUGAAUAUGGGGGGACCAUCCUCCAAGGCUAAAUACUCCUGACUGACCGAUAGUGAACCAGUACCGUGAGGGAAAGGCGAAAAGAACCCCUGUGAGGGGAGUGAAAUAGAACCUGAAACCGUGUACGUACAAGCAGUAGGAGCACCUUCGUGGUGUGACUGCGUACCUUUUGUAUAAUGGGUCAGCGACUUAUAUUCAGUGGCAAGGUUAACCGUAUAGGGGAGCCGUAGCGAAAGCGAGUCUUAACUGGGCGCUCAGUCUCUGGAUAUAGACCCGAAACCGGGUGAUCUAGCCAUGGGCAGGUUGAAGGUUGAGUAACAUCAACUGGAGGACCGAACCGACUAAUGUUGAAAAAUUAGCGGAUGACUUGUGGCUAGGGGUGAAAGGCCAAUCAAACUCGGAGAUAGCUGGUUCUCCCCGAAAGCUAUUUAGGUAGCGCCUCGGACGAAUACUACUGGGGGUAGAGCACUGUUAAGGCUAGGGGGUCAUCCCGACUUACCAACCCUUUGCAAACUCCGAAUACCAGUAAGUACUAUCCGGGAGACACACGGCGGGUGCUAACGUCCGUCGUGGAGAGGGAAACAACCCAGACCGCCAGCUAAGGUCCCAAAGUAUUGCUAAGUGGGAAACGAUGUGGGAAGGCUCAGACAGCUAGGAUGUUGGCUUAGAAGCAGCCAUCAUUUAAAGAAAGCGUAAUAGCUCACUAGUCGAGUCGGCCUGCGCGGAAGAUGUAACGGGGCUAAGCAAUACACCGAAGCUGCGGCAAUGUCUUUUAGACAUUGGGUAGGGGAGCGUUCUGUAAGCCGUUGAAGGUGAAUCGUAAGGUUUGCUGGAGGUAUCAGAAGUGCGAAUGCUGACAUGAGUAACGACAAAGGGGGUGAAAAACCUCCUCGCCGGAAGACCAAGGGUUCCUGUCCAACGUUAAUCGGGGCAGGGUGAGUCGACCCCUAAGGUGAGGCCGAAAGGCGUAAUCGAUGGGAAACGGGUUAAUAUUCCCGUACUUCUGACUAUUGCGAUGGGGGACGGAGAAGGCUAGGUGGGCCAGGCGACGGUUGUCCUGGUUCAAGUGCGUAGGCUUGAGAGUUAGGUAAAUCCGGCUCUCUCUAAGGCUGAGACACGACGUCGAGCUACUACGGUAGUGAAGUCAUUGAUGCCAUGCUUCCAGGAAAAGCCUCUAAGCUUCAGAUAGUCAGGAAUCGUACCCCAAACCGACACAGGUGGUCGGGUAGAGAAUACCAAGGCGCUUGAGAGAACUCGGGUGAAGGAACUAGGCAAAAUGGUACCGUAACUUCGGGAGAAGGUACGCUCUUGAUGGUGAAGUCCCUCGCGGAUGGAGCUGACGAGAGUCGCAGAUACCAGGUGGCUGCAACUGUUUAUUAAAAACACAGCACUGUGCAAAAUCGCAAGAUGACGUAUACGGUGUGACGCCUGCCCGGUGCCGGAAGGUUAAUUGAUGGGGUUAGCGCAAGCGAAGCUCUUGAUCGAAGCCCCGGUAAACGGCGGCCGUAACUAUAACGGUCCUAAGGUAGCGAAAUUCCUUGUCGGGUAAGUUCCGACCUGCACGAAUGGCGUAAUGAUGGCCACGCUGUCUCCACCCGAGACUCAGUGAAAUUGAAAUCGCUGUGAAGAUGCAGUGUACCCGCGGCUAGACGGAAAGACCCCGUGAACCUUUACUACAGCUUGGCACUGAACAUUGAACCUACAUGUGUAGGAUAGGUGGGAGGCUAUGAAGACGUGACGCCAGUUGCGUUGGAGCCGUCCUUGAAAUACCACCCUUGUAUGUUUGAUGUUCUAACUUAGACCCAUUAUCUGGGUUGAGGACAGUGCCUGGUGGGUAGUUUGACUGGGGCGGUCUCCUCCCAAAGAGUAACGGAGGAGCACGAAGGUGGGCUAAUCACGGUUGGACAUCGUGAGGUUAGUGCAAUGGCAUAAGCCCGCUUAACUGCGAGAAUGACGGUUCGAGCAGGUGCGAAAGCAGGUCAUAGUGAUCCGGUGGUUCUGUAUGGAAGGGCCAUCGCUCAACGGAUAAAAGGUACUCCGGGGAUAACAGGCUGAUACCGCCCAAGAGUUCAUAUCGACGGCGGUGUUUGGCACCUCGAUGUCGGCUCAUCACAUCCUGGGGCUGAAGUCGGUCCCAAGGGUAUGGCUGUUCGCCAUUUAAAGUGGUACGCGAGCUGGGUUUAGAACGUCGUGAGACAGUUCGGUCCCUAUCUGCCGUGGGCGUUGGAAGAUUGAAGGGGGCUGCUCCUAGUACGAGAGGACCGGAGUGGACGAACCUCUGGUGUUCGGGUUGUGUCGCCAGACGCAUUGCCCGGUAGCUAAGUUCGGAAUUGAUAAGCGCUGAAAGCAUCUAAGCGCGAAGCGAGCCCUGAGAUGAGUCUUCCCUGACAGUUUAACUGUCCUAAAGGGUUGUUCGAGACUAGAACGUUGAUAGGCAGGGUGUGUAAGCGUUGUGAGGCGUUGAGCUAACCUGUACUAAUUGCCCGUGAGGCUUAACCAUACAACACCCAAGGGGUUUUGUA
rnacentral:rRNA from 1 species